GUCUGUAGACGGCCAGUUCUCUCUCACCAGACGCAACUUGAAGUAUGUUCUCAAGUCACUUCUGACAUGAUAAAAAAGGAGGAAUGGUUAUUAUGUGUCUAGAAUGUUGACACAUUUGAGCUAUCUGGAUUAUUUUAUUAGCUGAAUAUUCUUUUCACCCCAGUCUGAGGUUUAUGGUGCAUCCACAUUGUAGGAUAAAUGCAGUUUGACAGCACUUGGACUGCCAUGGCUCAGUGCUAUGGAAUCAUGGGAGCUGUGGUUUUACAAGGUCUUUAGCCUUCUCUCCAAUAGUGAGUGAUGGUGCCUCACCAAACUACAACUCCCAGAAUUCCAUAGCACUGAGCCAUGGCAGUUACAGUGGUGUCAAACUGCAUUAAUUUUACAAUGUAGAUGCACUCUGUCUAACAUAUCACUAGUGAGAAGUCUACCUGUAUUUUUCAGAUCUGUAUUAUUUAGCAAUUAUAACUUUUUUUUUUCAGUUUGCUUUUAACAAACAAUGUAACUUCCACAUGCCAUGACUCCAGUAUCGGUUAUCUGUUUUUCAGUAAAUCUUGUUUGGUCAUGCACCAUCUCUCUCAUCAUCCACAACCAAUGGACAGGGAAGAUGGCAUUUAUAUGAUUUUUGCAUGACUAUUAGCCGCUUUGAGUCUCCUUUUGAAGAGGGGAAAUGGGAUAUAAACACUUCUGUUACUACUACUAGUACUACUACUACUAAUAUGCGAUUGACCAUCUAUGUUUGGUUUCAUCAGGUCUGGAAUUUUUAAUGGGCUUUGUGCCACUGAGGAUGCAUCUACAUUUUAACUGCCAUGGCUCAAGGCUAUGGAAUCAUGGAAGAAGGCUUGUAAAACUACAACUUCUAUAAUUCUAUGAAUUUCUGCACUGGCCUGUACUAAAGAAUGUUCAUACUUAGUUCAGCUGGAUUCAGUCCAUGGGGGUGUUUUGAGUUAGUCAUUGUGCCUAGAAUUUCAUUCCUAUUUUAAGGUUUAUUUUCUUGUUUUAUAUAAUGUAUGACUCAUUUUGAAGUUGCGACAUACAAAGCCGUGUGUAUAGAUGAUGCUCAAGAAAAACGGAGAAACUUACUGUGCUGUUCUUGGGUGGAAACUGCAUGCUGAUGACUCUUGCUAGAUCAAGCAAUUAAAGAUCUAAUUUCUUUUGUCCAAGCCUAUGUUGUAAGUGGAAGAAGGAAAACUGUAAAAAUCAAAGCUCUAAUUCAUAAAAUGGGUUACUCUGAUUUGAAUGUAAUCAAGUAUGUAUUCAAUAUUUCAAAAUGGGAAACUCACCUCUCAGGUGUGCUGGGGACUGAAUGAUACUGAGAUAUGUGUACAAGUGGAAUGCAGAAAGAAAGAAAGAAUGAAAAUGUAACCUUGGUAAACUAAGCCAAGCAAUAUCACAGUUUGUUUGAAAGGUAAACAUUUUCAUCAAAUAAGAUUAGAAAGUUGCUAUUGUUAGAAAGUGUGAGUCAUUUUCUUGGUCUUUAAAUGUUUCUUAGGAACUAGAAUGCAUAACUGGGUGUUCCCGAAUCAGUAAUAAAGGCUAAUAUGAUUUCUCCCACCCAUGUACAAUAUUUUUAAAUAAUUACAUUACCUAGUUCUGGUGAAAGAUAACACAAGCCAGCAGAUAUUUUUGAUCAGAUAUAAUUUUAGGUCAUGCUUAUAGAGUUUUUUUAAUGCAUUUACACACUGAUAUCAAUUAGAUUCUAUUACUAUCAGUGCAUAAAUGCAUUAUUUAUUCAAUUAGCUUAAUAAAGAAAACAACACAUGAUAGAGAAAAAAUAAACACAUAUCUGAGUUCAGUGCAAAAAAACUCUAUAAGAAUGACCUAAAAUUAUAUCUUAUUAAAAUACUUGUUGCCUUGUGUUACAUGAAUAUGAUGUGAAAUGUGCAGACUUUACAAUAGUCCGCUGUGAUAUACCAUUCAUCAUAUUUUUAAAAGUUGAUGAGAGGGAAAAAAUUAGAACAUAUUUAAAAUCAGCAUAAAAAUGAUUUAAACUGUUACUCUCAUUUCUGGUGAUUACAAAAAGUUUGGUUUUGUUGGCUUGUGUAAAUGCUUUUGUCGAGCAAAUAGCUACAUUUUUCUGCAAAGCUUGACAACAUUACGUUUUUGAACUGCAUCUUCGAUAAUCCCCUAACUAAAAAGGCUGAUGAUGAGGAUUCUAGGAGUUGUAGUUCAAAAAGUAUUGCUAUACUUCUUCCAAAUUGUGUCCAGUUGCCUUGCUCCUAGUUGACUGCAUCCUUGGACACUGCAGUUCUGUAUGUAUUCACAUUGGAGUAAGGACUUCAUCCCAUGAAGGAGGUAGUGUCACAUUACUGUGGAGUUAUGUCCCGUUGCAUUAGAAAGCAAAUAGUAUUGUUACUCAUUUUUCAUCACACGUUGGCCCUAUGUUCCAAAAUGAUUAGAUAAGCGCAUGCAGUUCCCACCCACUCCCUUUCUUUUUUAAAAAAACAACCCCUUUGUGAAUUUCCUGGAGAGCAUGGCGGCGUGAAGGCAGUGUCCAAAAGAGUCUGCUUGCAAGGUCAAGCAAAAGCCAAGUAGAGAUGUCCUGAAGUAGUGAACUUUCUAGUUAAUACAUAAAAUAAAAAUACAGUGCAAGGCAAGGAAAAGGCAGCUAGAUUUUGGGAGAUUACCAGGGCAUCACUGCUUUGUAGGACACCACCCAUUCCCCCAUGUCACCAAAUCAAUUCAAUGUGAUCUGACAGAUCCCAUCCCACAUGUUUUUGCUGUUUUCUCCAGUUUUAUAGUGAUCCCUGAGCUCAGGAGACUAUUUCUGCUCAUCUUCUCUCUCCCAAGUUCCUUAACACUUUCUAAACUUUUCACCGAGUAUGACAGACGCAAGUCUCCCUGCAAUCGUGUGAUGAGCUCCGUUUAACUUAGUUUUUCAACUGCUUUCAAAGUGUUUAGAACUAGUGUGUGUAUGUGUGGAAUAGUAUCCUAAGUCCCAUUGAUAUAAAUAAGACUAACUUCUGAGUAGGCAUGAUAAGGUCGAUCUAUUAGCAUGCUGCUAAAGGUUGGGUAUGGGAAAUCCUAGAUUCUUCUAAUGAAGAAUUUUCCCUAUUUUUGUUGCCUUUGCUGUCCCUACAGUUAGACAAAACUGGUCAAAUGCUUCUGAUGUGAGUGAUAAAUUCUGUAUGUGCAUAAUUAGUAUGAGUCGAAUAACUCCAACAGGACUAGACUUGUAGAAUUAUUUGAAAUUAUUUUAUCUGGUUUAUGAUCUGCAGGAAGCAAAGACUUUUGUUGUAACUGAUUGCUGGAAGACUAACAAGAGGCAAGAUGACAUCUGGGUUUUAUGGGUUCCUUAUCCCAUAACGGUCCCUUAUUCAGCGCUGUUCAUUCUGCCAUGGAAUCCUACUUUCCAGCAGAAAAUUUUCAGAAGUCUGUGUGCUAAAUGGAAGGUCCUGAAACAGAACAUCAGACCUAGAUCAGCUGUGGUCACCUUCCUCAGUUUAAAGAAGAGCCCUGAGCCCUGAAAAAAAAAUCCCUUUGUUUAAAAUGAUUUAUUUGUGAAUAUUAGAACAAAGAUUACUACAAUUGAGGAGCUAAUUUGGUAAGAAUAUCUCGGGAUACUUUAGUCAAUCUUAUUAAAUGUGUCUCUCCAAAACCUAAAA